rnacentral:misc_RNA from 1 species
GAUGAAGAACGUAGUGAAAUGCGAUAACUAAUGUGAAUUGCAUAAUUCAGUGAAUCAUCGAGUCUUUGAACGCACAUUGCGCCCCCUGGUAUUCCGGGGGGCAUGCCUGUCCGAGCGUCAUUGCUGCCCUCAAGCCCGGCUUGUGUGUUGGGUCGCCGUCCCCCUCUCCGGGGGGACGGGCCCGAAAGGCAGCGGCGGCACCGCGUCCGAUCCUCGAGCGUAUGGGGCUUUGUCACAUGCUCUGUAGGAUUGGCCGGCGCCUGCCGACGUUUUCCAACCAUUUUUUCCAGGUUGACCUCGGAUCAGGUAGGGAUACCCGCUGAACUUAAGCAUAUCAAUAAGCGGAGGA